GGAUCUGACCGCAGAGCGAGCGUUGAGGUCAUUCCGGGGAUAAAAGAGCGUCCGGUGGCAAACACAAGCUUUUACUGCACAUAAACAUGAGAUUUGAGACGCUCCGUGCAGACAAAAGGUGCGAAGAAGAGAUCUGCAGACGCUCACGUCAGCACCUGCAGACACUCGGCUCAUUAGGCUGAUUGGACGCAGGCUGUAGAAAGGCGACGUCUGCGCUGAGCUCACAUUAGAGGCGGUGGUCGGGUGAUCAGCGUGAGGAGUGUGUAGGAAUGGCCUGUGGAGUUCAUCUGGGGUGUGUGUGUGUGUGCGCGCGCGCUCGUUUUGUGUUCCAACCUACUCUGAGUGUGUGUCAAACUGCUGACCUUGAUAUCUGUGUUCUCCGCAGGAUUUUGCUCGUUUGUUUGGUUCAGGCAGAGCGUGCACGCUGCUCCUGGUCUCAGCAAGCUCCGGCCUCCCAGAGACGCGGCGGCGGCGGGUACGCUGGCUCCGGCCCCCUCCAGGGUGAACUCAGACAGGCGCCUGUUUCCGCAGCCUCGGCCCACGGCGGUGGUUUGAGUGAGUGGACGCACGCGUCUGCUGACGGGCGGCAAACAAGCUGGCGGAGAGUGAAGGUUCAGAAACUGCCUCCAGCACAUCUGGACUGGUUUACUCCUAUUUCUAGCGGAAGCUCCAUCAACCAUUUUACUAGUAAAAAGACUAGUCACGAUCAGUCCAACCAGUAUCUGUUUAGCAAUGGUGUGUCUCCCAGUAAGACGUCAGACUCCCAGUCUCCAGCGCAGAGGCCUCAGGGUUCGGCUGCAGGGUCUCCGGGACCCGUGGGAGCAGAUGCGUCCUCUGAGGGUCAGACUUUGGCCUGUGGCCUUGGAAAAAGAGUGACUUCACGUCGUCGCCACGGGUCGUCUAAAGCCCCUCGUUUCCCCCCGCCUCCUAAUGAAAGGCCUCCGCAGAUCCCCGUCCGGCGAAACCCUCCCCAGAGCUCCACGCCUGCCUCCAACGCGGCCGUGAGCUGCGCGAGCUACGCUCCAGACUGGCCCCGCGGGCAAAGCGCCGCCAGGAGCCCGAGCAAGCGCGGCCGGUUCGGCUCGGCCUCUGGUGCGGGCUCUGGCCGGGCAAGCAGAACGUUCAGCAUCCCCCAGCGCCUGGGCGGACACGCCAUCAGGCGGCCGCCGGCGUGGAGCGAGCAGGAAGGCAGGAUCCUGAAGCCACAGCAGCCUGCGUCAUACAAGCCUCGGGGUCAGAAGGUCAGGUGGUACAAGGUCAAGCUGCGUCGCUGACCCACAGGUGAGCUCCUCGUUGUUUCCAUGAUGCUUCCUCAAACCUGGUUCUCAACUUUUUUUUAAUUUUUUUUCCUCCCCCAUAGGUGCAGGAGUAAAAGAAUUGUUUUGAAAUAAAAGUUAAUUUAUGUAUUCCA
rnacentral:lncRNA from 1 species